rnacentral:rRNA from 1 species
GACGUAGGGCGCGAGCGUUGUCCGGAUUUAUUGGGCGUAAAGAGCUCGUAGGCGGCUUGUCGCGUCGGAUGUGAAAACCCGCAGCUCAACUGUGGGCUUGCAUCCGAUACGGGCAGGCUCGAGUUCGGUAGGGGAGACUGGAAUUCCUGGUGUAGCGGUGAAAUGCGCAGAUAUCAGGAGGAACACCGGUGGCGAAGGCGGGUCUCUGGGCCGAUACUGACGCUGAGGAGCGAAAGCGUGGGGAGCGAACAGG